rnacentral:rRNA from 1 species
GACGAACGCUGGCGGCGUGCCUAAUACAUGCAAGUCGAACGCAGUGGGGACGGGUGAGUAACACGUGGGUAACCUCCCAUCAGAGGGGAUAACACUUGGAAACAGGUGCUAAACCGAUACUGAUGGAUGGACCCGCGGUGCAUUAGCUAGUUGGUGAGGUCACGGCGCACCAAGGCCACGAUGCAUAGCCGACCGGAAAGGGAGAUCGGCCACACUGGGACUGAGACAGGGACCAGAAACCUACGGGAGGCAGCAGUAGGGAAACGUCGGCAAUAGACGAAAGGCUGAACGAGCAACGCCGCGUGAGUGAAGAAGGUUUUCGGAUCGUAAAACUCUGUUGUUAGAGAAGCGGUAUCUAACCAGAAAGGCACGGCUAACUACGUGCCAGCAGCCGCGGUAAUUC